CUUAGAUGAUCCUGCCAGAAGUCAUAUGCUUGUCUCAAAGAUUAAGCCAUACAUGUGUAAGUAUAAACUAAUUUAGACUAGACAACUGUGAAUGGCUCAUAAAUCAGUUAUAGUUUGUUUGAUGGUAUCUACUACUCGGAUCACAUUAAUAAUUCUAAAGCUAAUACAUGCAACAAAUCUUGACUUCUAGAAAGGAUGCAUUUAUUAGAUAAAAGGUCAACAUGGGCUUUGCCUAUUGCUCUUGUGAUUCAUGAUAACUUGAUGGAUCACAUGGCCUUUGUUUCAAUGAUGCAUCAUUCAAAUUUCUACCCUAUCAACUUUUAAUGGUUAGAUAGUGACCUAUCAUGGUGGUGGCGAGUGAUAGAGAAUUAGGGUUCAAUUCUAAAAAGGAAGGUUGAAAAAUGGCUAUCACAUCUAAGGAAGGCAGCAAGCACACAAAUUACUCAAUCCUAACAUGGGGAAGUAGUGAUAAUAAAUAAUAAUACUAGGCUCUAGGAGUCUGGUAAUCCAAAUUAGUACAAUCUAAAUCCUUUAACGAAGAUCCAUUGGAGGGCAACUUUGGUGCCAGCAAUUAUGGUAAUUCUAGCCCCAAUAGCAUAUAUUUAAGUUGUCGUAGUUAAAAACCUCAUAGUUGGAACUAGGGUUAGGUCAUUUAGUUUGCCUUAUGGUGAGCAUAAGUUUAUUCAUGCCUACUACUAACGAUGCACUCCUAGCCUUAAUUGGCUGGAUUAUUCCUUUGACAUUAUUACUUUGAAAAAAUUAGAGUGCUCAAAGUAGGCCAUGUUUAUAUACAUUAGCAUGGGAUAACAUCAUAGGAUUUUGGUCCUAUUAUGUUGCCAUUAUGAUCAGAGUAAUGAUUAAAAGGGAUAGUCAGGGGCAUUCAUAUUUCAUAGUCUAAGGUGAAAUUCUUGGAUUUAUGAAAGAUGAACAACUGGAAAGCAUUUGCCAAGGAUGUUUUCAUUAAUCAAGAAUAAAAGUUGAGGGCUCAAAGAUCAUUAGAUACCAUACCAGUCUCAACCAUAAAUGAUGCCAACCAAGGAUUGGUGGAUGUUACUUUUAGGACUCUGUUGGCAUCUUAUGACAAAUCAAAGUUUUUCAAUUCCAAUGGGAGUAUGGUUGCAAGGUUUAAACUUAAAGGAAUUGACAAAAGGGCAACACCAUGAAUGGUGCCUAUGACUUAAUUUGACUCAAUACAGGGAAACUUACUAGGUCUAAACAUAGUAAGGAUUGACAGAUUAAGAGCUCUUUCUUGAUUCUAUGGGUGUUGGUGCAUGGUUAUUCUUAGUUGGUGGAGCGAUUUGUCUAGUUAAUUCUAUUAAUGAAUGAGGCCUCAGCCUGUUAAGUAGCUAUGGGGUGGUGAUCCUUCGUGGCUAGCUUCUUAAAGAGACUACGGCUAUCGAGGCCAAGAAAGUUUGAGGCAAUAAUAGGUCUAUAAUGCCCUUAGAUGUUUUGGGCCACACAUGUGCUACACUGAUGUAUUCAAUGAGUCUAUAUUUUUGGCUGACAAGCCUAGGUAAUCUUUGAAAUUUCAUCAUGAUAGGGAUAGAUCAUUGCAAUUGUCAGUCUUCAACAAGGAAUUCCUAAUAAGUUUGACUCAUCAGCUCAUGUUGAAUAUGUCCCUGCCCUUUGUACACUUCGUCCAUUAGUCCUAUCGAUUGAAUGGUCCAGUGAAGUGUUCAAAUUGUCAUGACGUGGAUGAUUUUCUAAUCACAAUGUCAUGAAAAGUCUAUUAAAUCUUAUCAUUUAGAGGAAGGAGAAGUCAUAACAAGGUUUUUGUAGGUGAACCUGUGGAAG
rnacentral:rRNA from 1 species